UACGUAGGGGGCGAGCGUUGUCCGGAUUUAUUGGGCGUAAAGAGCGUGUAGGCGGCCAGGUAGGUCUGCUGUGAAAACUCGAGGCUCAACCUCGAGACGUCGGCGGAAACCAUCUGGCUAGAGUCCGGAAGAGGAGAGUGGAAUUCCUGGUUUAGCGGUGAAAUGCGCAGAUAUCAGGAAGAACACCCGUGGCGAAGGCGGCUCUCUGGGACGGUACUGACGCUGAGACGCGAAAGCGUGGGGAGCGAACAGG
rnacentral:rRNA from 1 species